UAUGCAUGUGAAUGAAACAUUUGUACUUUAUGAGAUUCUAUGUAUAACUUCUCUCAUAUCUAUGUGUUCUUGCAUUUGUACUUUUUGUGAGAUUUUCUUUUCUAAUUUCUUUUCUUUUUUCUUUUUCCAAGCAAGUAGAGGGCGGGUAAUCUUUAUAAAGGUUACCCUUUCUUGAGGGCUUAUGCAGGUUCAGCUGGUUUUUCCAGUAGCUUCUCUUUGGAAGAACCAAAGAACAAAGUGCAGUUACCAUAUAAUCCGGUUUUCUUAAGAGAGGUUCUUUACACCCCGGGUAGUGUCCAAGAAUUCUGUUUCAGUAAGAGUACUGAAACUGAAACAUACAACUUCUAUACAGAGAAGUAUGAACAAAAAAAUAGUAGCAAUUUGAUGGAACAAAUUGGACUUGCUAUUCUCAAUUUACUUGUUACCGGUGUAUAUCUGCAGACCCGUAAUGAUUCGAUUUUUUGCAAAAUUUAUUGCUGGUUUGGACUUUAAGGACUAUAUUAUAAUAUCGAGUGCAAUUUUGCCAGUAGUUUAUCAAUACAUCAUUGAAAAACGUAAGGAAAUCGAUGACAAACGUAAGGAUGUAAUUGAGAAUUACAGUGCGAAGUUUGGUUUAUUCCUUCAAACCAUGGAAAUAAUUAAGCAGAAAAGAUCUAGGAU